rnacentral:rRNA from 1 species
GAUGAACGCUGGCGGCAUGCUUUACACAUGCAAGUCGCACGGUAACAGGCCGCAAGGUGCUGACGAGUGGCGAACGGGUGAGUAAUGCAUCGGAACGUGCCCAGUCGUGGGGGAUAACGCAGCGAAAGCUGCGCUAAUACCGCAUACGAUCUAUGGAUGAAAGCGGGGACCGUAAGGCCUCGCGCGAUUGGAGCUGCCGAUGUCAGAUUAGGUAGGUGGGGAGGUAAAGGCUCACCAAGCCAACGAUCUGUAGCUGGUCUGAGAGGACGACCAGCCACACUGGGACUGGGACACGGCCCAGACUCCUACGGGGAGCAACAAGGGGGUAUUUUGGACGAUGGGCGCAAGCCUGAACCAGCAAUGCCGCGUGCAGGAAGAAGGCCUUCGGGUUGUAAACCACUUUUGUACGGAACGAAACGGUCCGGGUUAAUACCCUGGGCUAAUGACGGUACCGUAAGAAUAAGCACCGGCUAACUACGUGCCAGCAGCCGCAGUAA